GCCAGAGUGGCGGAAUUUGGUAUACGCGUACGGCUUAGGACCGUAUCCCGCAAGGGUUGUGGGUUCGAGUCCCACCUCUGGCA
rnacentral:tRNA from 1 species